rnacentral:rRNA from 1 species
CUACCCGGGUAUCUAAUCCCGUUCGCUCCCCACGCUUUCGCACCUCAGCGUCAGUGUCAGGCCAGGUAGCUGCCUUCGCCAUCGGUGUUCCUCCGGAUAUCUACGCAUUUCACCGCUACACCCGGAAUUCCGCUACCCCCUCCCACACUCAAGCUCCCCAGUAUCCAAGGCACUGUCCGCGUUGAGCGCUGGACCUUUCACCCCGAACUUAAGAAGCCGCCUACGCGCGCUUUACGCCCAGUAACUUCGGACAACGCUCGCCCCCUACGUAUUACCGCGGCUGCUGGCAC